CAGCCGCCGCGGUAAUACCGGCGGCCCGAGUGGCGGUCACUCUUAUUGGGCUUAAAGCGUCCGUAGCCGGGUUGGGAAGUCCUCCGGGAAAUCUGGCCGCUUAACGGUCAGAAUGCCGGAGGAUACUCCCAGCCUAGGGAGCGGGAGAGGCCGAGGGUAUUCCCGGAGUAGGGGUGAAAUCCUAUAAUCCCGGGAGGACCACCUGUGGCGAAGGCGCUCGGCUGGAACGCGUCCGACGGUGAGGGACGAAGGCCAGGGGAGCAAACCGGAUUAGAUACCCGGGUAGUCCUGGCUGUAAACGAUGCGGACUUUGUGUCGGACAAGCUAUGAGCUUGUCCGGUGCCGGAGGGAAACCGUUAAGUCCGCCGCCUGGGGAGUACGGCCGCAAGGUUGAAACUUAAAGGAAUUGGCGGG
rnacentral:rRNA from 1 species